rnacentral:rRNA from 1 species
GAUGAACGCUGGCGGCGUGCUUAACACAUGCAAGUCGAACGGUGAAGGCGGAGCUUGCUCUGCUGGAUCAGUGGCGAACGGGUGAGUAACACGUGAGCAAUCUGCCCCUGACUCUGGGAUAAGCGCUGGAAACGGCGUCUAAUACUGGAUACGAGCUGCGAAGGCAUAUUCAGCAGCUGGAAAGAACUUCGGUCAGGGAUGAGCUCGCGGCCUAUCAGCUUGUUGGUGAGGUAACGGCUCACCAAGGCGUCGACGGGUAGCCGGUCUGAGAGGGUGACCGGCCACACUGGGACUGAGACACGGCCCAGACUCCUACGGGAGGCAGCAGUGGGGAAUAUUGCACAAUGGGCGAAAGCCUGAUGCAGCAACGCCGCGUGAGGGACGACGGCCUUCGGGUUGUAAACCUCUUUUAGCAGGGAAGAAGCGAAAGUGACGGUACCUGCAGAAAAAGCGCCGGCUAACUACGUG